CGCACAAGCGGUGGAGCAUGUGGUUUAAUUCCACGCAACGCGAAGAACCUUACCUGGGCUCGAACGGCUUCGGACAAUCUGUGGAAACAUGGACUUCCCGCAAGGGACUGGAGUCGAGGUGCUGCAUGGCUGUCGUCAGCUCGUGUCGUGAGAUGUUGGGUUAAGUCCCGCAACGAGCGCAACCCUUGUCCUGUGUUGCCACCCCGCAAGGGAGCACUCUCAGGAGACCGCCAGCGAUAAGCUGGAGGAAGGUGGGGAUGACGUCAAGUCCUCAUGGCCUUUAUGUCCAGGGCUACACACGUGCUACAAUGGGCGGUACAAAGCGCUGCAAACCCGCGAGGGGGAGCCAAUCGCAAAAAACCGUUCUUAGUUCGGAUUGCAGGCUGCAACUCGCCUGCAUGAAGCUGGAAUCGCUAGUAAUGGCGUAUCAGAAUGAUGCCGUGAAUACGUUCCCGGGCCUUGUACACACCGCCCGUCACAUCACGAAAGUGGAUUGCACUAGAAGUCCGCAGGCUAACCGCAAGGAGGCAGCGGCCCAAGGUGUGAUUCAUGAUUGGGGUGAAGUCGUCGUAACAAGGUAACCGUAA
rnacentral:rRNA from 1 species